rnacentral:rRNA from 1 species
AUUGAACGCUGGCGGCAUGCCUACCACAUGCAAGUCGACCGGAAGAACGGGGCUUUCACCUGGGUGCCGAUGGCGGAAGGGGGGGGAAUAACACGGGAACAUGCCCGGUAUGGGGGAUAGCCCGGCGAAAGCCGGGUUAAAUACUCCAAACGACCAAGGAUGAAAGCGGGGGACCUUCGGGCCCUCCGGUAUUGGGUUUGCCGAUGGCUGAUUAGCUAGUUGGUGGGGUAAAGGCCUACCAAGGCGACGAUCAGUAGCUGGUCUGAGAGGACGACCAGCCACACUGGGACUGAGACACGGCCCAGACUCCUACGGGAGGCAGCAGUGGGGAAUUUUGGACAAUGGGCGAAAGCCUGAUCCAGCAAUGCCGCGUGUGUGAAGAAGGACUUCGGGUUGUAAAGCACUUUUGUCCGGAAAGAAAUCCUUGACUCUAAUACAGUCGGGGGAUGACGGUACCGGAAGAAUAAGCACCGGCUAACUACGUG